AACGAACGCUGGCGGCAUGCCUAACACAUGCAAGUCGAACGAAGUCUUCGGACUUAGUGGCGCACGGGUGCGUAACGCGUGGGAAUCUGCCCUUGGGUGCGGAAUAACUUCUCGAAAGGGAUGCUAAUACCGCAUAAUGUCGUAAGACCAAAGAUUUAUCGCCCAAGGAUGAGCCCGCGUAAGAUUAGCUAGUUGGUGGGUAAAAGCCUACCAAGGCGACGAUCUUUAGCUGGUCUGAGAGGAUGAUCAGCCACACUGGGACUGAGACACGGCCCAGACUCCUGCGGGAGGCAGCAGUGGGGAAUAUUGGACAAUGGGCGAAAGCCUGAUCCAGCAAUGCCGCGUGAGUGAUGAAGGCCCUAGGGUUGUAAAGCUCUUUUACCAGGGAUGAUAAUGACAGUACCUGGAGAAUAAGCUCCGGCUAACUCCGUGCCAGCAGCCGCGGUAAU
rnacentral:rRNA from 1 species